GCGAACCGGGGGAACUGAAACAUCUAAGUACCCCGAGGAAAAGAAAUCAACCGAGAUUCCGAAAGUAGCGGCGAGCGAAAUUGGACUAGCCCUUAAGCUUUACACGCGUUAGACGAACGGUCUGGAAAGUCCGACGAUACAGGGUGAUAGUCCCGUAGUUGACGACGUGUGUUCAGUGAAAUCGAGUAGGGCGGGACACGUGAUAUCCUGUCUGAAUAUGGGGGGACCAUCCUCCAAGGCUAAAUACUACUGACUGACCGAUAGUGAACCAGUACCGUGAGGGAAAGGCGAAAAGAACCCCUGUGAGGGGAGUGAAAUAGAACCUGAAACCGUGUACGUACAAGCAGUAGGAGCAGGCUUUGUCCUGUGACUGCGUACCUUUUGUAUAAUGGGUCAGCGACUUAUAUUCAGUGGCAAGGUUAACCAUCUAGGGGAGCCGUAGGGAAACCGAGUCUUAACUGGGCGUUCAGUCUCUGGAUAUAGACCCGAAACCAGGUGAUCUAGCCAUGGGCAGGUUGAAGGUUGAGUAACAUCAACUGGAGGACCGAACCGACUAAUGUUGAAAAAUUAGCGGAUGACUUGUGGCUAGGGGUGAAAGGCCAAUCAAACCUGGAGAUAGCUGGUUCUCCCCGAAAGCUAUUUAGGUAGCGCCUCGGACGAAUACUACUGGGGGUAGAGCACUGUUAAGGCUAGGGGGUCAUCCCGACUUACCAACCCUUUGCAAACUCCGAAUACCAGUAAGUACUAUCCGGGAGACACACGGCGGGUGCUAACGUCCGUCGUGGAGAGGGAAACAACCCAGACCGCCAGCUAAGGUCCCAAAUUACUACUAAGUGGGAAACGAUGUGGGAAGGCUCAGACAGCCAGGAUGUUGGCUUAGAAGCAGCCAUCAUU
rnacentral:rRNA from 1 species